GCAGCCGCCGGCGCCAAUGUUCUUACCUGCACCCCUCCGGCGCCUGGGGCUUCGUCGGGCCCAAAGUCUGAGACAGAUUAGAGGCGAUGGCCAUAACCCAGAAGUCGUUUACAUCGAGCUGUGGAUGUUACCCGCGUUGUUUGGCGGGGAAGGCGAACUGCUGGCGGCCUUCCACGAGUGGUUCGGGGUAUUACUCGUUAUCAGUGCAGUCCCAGGAUGCGGAGUCUUGAUCUUCAUCACUGGACGGCCCUUUUACCAAUAUCUUACGAUGCUCCUCAUUGUGGCCAUGUCUUUCCAGCUUCUGAUCCGCCGAAAUCGAGCCAGAGCUCGGACCAGAAGGCUGCUAAAUCCUGCGCUGGCUGGGGGACGCUCUGUUUAAGGUUGGAGCCGGUCCGGAAUCCCUUAUCCAGAUGACUGACUGCGGGCCGGGGAUGACACUGUUUGCUGGAGUGCUGACCUGGGGGUCAGGAGGCUAAGGCCCCAUCCACUGUGGUUUGUGCCGUGAAAGAUGUGGAGGAGAACGGGUGUGGGGGCAGCUGUUCUUAAUUUUGUCACGUUCAAGUGAUUGCAAGCUUGACCUUUUAAGGAAAGUUUCACUGGUUUUAUAAUAAAUGAUCUUCAUUGGU
rnacentral:lncRNA from 1 species